AUUCUUCGGAUGAAGAGGAUUGUGACGGAGCGGCGGACGGGUGAGUAACGCGUGGGUAACCUGCCUCGUACAGGGGGAUAACAGUUAGAAAUGACUGCUAAUACCGCAUAAGACCACAGCACCGCAUGGUGCAGGGGUAAAAACUCCGGUGGUAUGAGAUGGACCCGCGUCUGAUUAGCUAGUUGGUAAGGUAACGGCUUACCAAGGCGACGAUCAGUAGCCGACCUGAGAGGGUGACCGGCCACAUUGGGACUGAGACACGGCCCAAACUCCUACGGGAGGCAGCAGUGGGGAAUAUUGCACAAUGGGGGAAACCCUGAUGCAGCGACGCCGCGUGAGCGAAGAAGUAUUUCGGUAUGUAAAGCUCUAUCAGCAGGGAAGAAAAUGACGGUACCUGACUAAGAAGCACCGGCUAAAUACGUGCCAGCAGCCGCGGUAAUACGUAUGGUGCAAGCGUUAUCCGGAUUUACUGGGUGUAAAGGGAGCGUAGACGGAUGGGCGAGUCUGAUGUGAAAACCCGGGGCUCAACCCCGGGACUGCAUUGGAAACUGUUCAUCUAGAGUGCUGGAGAGGUAAGUGGAAUUCCUAGUGUAGCGGUGAAAUGCGUAGAUAUUAGGGGGAACACCAGUGGCGAAGGCGGCUUACUGGAC
rnacentral:rRNA from 1 species